rnacentral:tRNA from 1 species
UCCGGCGUAGCUCAACCGGUUAGAGUAUUUCGAUGUAAGCGAAAAGGAUUGCAGGUUCGAAUCCUGCCGCCGGGA